rnacentral:rRNA from 1 species
GAUGAACGCUGGCGGCGUGCCUAAUACAUGCAAGUCGAGCGAACAGACGAGGAGCUUGCUCCUCUGACGUUAGCGGCGGACGGGUGAGUAACACGUGGAUAACCUACCUAUAAGACUGGGAUAACUUCGGGAAACCGGAGCUAAUACCGGAUAAUAUAUUGAACCGCAUGGUUCAAUAGUGAAAGACGGUUUUGCUGUCACUUAUAGAUGGAUCCGCGCCGCAUUAGCUAGUUGGUAAGGUAACGGCUUACCAAGGCAACGAUGCGUAGCCGACCUGAGAGGGUGAUCGGCCACACUGGAACUGAGACACGGUCCAGACUCCUACGGGAGGCAGCAGUAGGGAAUCUUCCGCGAUGGGCGAAAGCCUGACGGAGCAACGCCGCGUGAGUGAUGAAGGUCUUCGGAUCGUAAAACUCUGUUAUUAGGGAAGAACAAAUGUGUAAGUAACUAUGCACGUCUUGACGGUACCUAAUCAGAAAGCCACGGCUAACUACGUA